AUUGGAGGGCAAGUCUGGUGCCAGCAGCCGCGGUAAUUCCAGCUCCAAUAGUGUAUAUUAAAGUUGCUGUGAUUAAAACGCUCGUAGUUGAAUUAAAAUGUGGUUUUAUACAUUUUGAAGACUUUAUGUAAGUAAAGUUUCUAGAAAUGUUAAAUUAAAAUCAAAGAAGGAAACAAUUCAAGUAAUUGAGUUGUUAUUACUUUGAAUAAAAUAAGGUGUUUAAAGCAAAACAUUAUGUUAAUGAAUAUUCAAGCAUGGGACAAUGCUGAGGGGAUGUCAAUAAGACAUUUCGAGAGAAGGAUUAAAAGGAACAAUUGGGGUGAUUCAGAAAAUAACGGGAGAGGUGAAAAUCCAUGAUCGCUAUAAGAUGCACGAGAGCGAAAGCAUUUCACUCAACUGUGUCCAUUAAUCAAGAACGAAAGUUAGGGGAUCGAAGACGAUCAGAUACCGUCGUAGUCCUAACUAUAAACGAUGUCAACCAAGGAUUGGAUGAAAUUCAGAUGUACAAAGAUAGAGAAGCAUUGUUUCUAGAUCUGAGUAUAUCAAUAUUACCUUGUUCAGAACUUAAAGAGAAAUCUUGAGUUU
rnacentral:rRNA from 1 species